GCAAACUCCACCUAAAUGUGAACUUGAUUCAAAGCCCAAAGAAGUCCAAGAGGGCUUUUCUUCAGUUACGUUUUGGUGACAGUCUUGAUAUUAUAUGGUAUCUCUGUUAUCCCCAUGGUUUUAUAUUUAACUGUGCUCACAGCUAAGGUACAAAGUACCUAUCCCAAAUGUCUGACAAACAGAACAGGUUAAGUUAAUGGGUCAGCAGAGGAGUGGCACUUUGAUGUGUUGCUUCUUUAUAUGACAGCUAGCUUAGUUUCUUAUGGCCUCUUUGCCUGCUGCCAGGAGCAGUGAGUGGACCACUUCAACACAGCUGUAAGUUACAGUUCCAAAAUGAAAUAAGGAACCCCACACUGUGGCAGCACCUGAUGUAAUCUUCCCUUUGCUUCUGUGCUGAUUGGAAGUCAAGCUUUGUGUCACGAUGCUCUGCUAAAAUAAGAGCUGACUGCAAGAUACUGAAACCAACACAGCAAGAGACAACUUCCACUGUAAUGGAUCCUCAGCCUACGAACAUAAAAGGUAGGAGGGAGGCCAUUUUUCCCAGAUCUGUCUGGUUUGGACGUCAUGAUGGCAUGUUAUGGUUUAAUCGUACUGGCAACUCACACAGGUAAGUAAUCCGAGGUAGAUACUGGAAAAGCAGCUGCUAAAUGUGGCAUACUUUGGUCAGCACCCUGAGAACCCAGGAUCUGCAGCGCAAGGGACGUUGCAGGGUAAAGGGAAUGGGUGUGGUGUGGGCUGCUCAGCUUAGAGAGUGGUGCAGCCUUGCUGCUGCUCACUAAGAAUGCAAAGAGUAGAACACAGCAAUAGGGAAACAGGACAUGGCUUUUGCGAGCAAAGGCCUUGGCUGUUAAAGCUGCAGGUUUCCUGUGAGGAAUGUUGGAGUACUGUUACACUUCUGUGUAACAAUAAAACCACAGAACUGUACCACGUGGCAGCUGCAACGCUCUGAUUCUGACCACAGCAGAACUGCUUGGCUAUAAGCAGCACUUCUCCUGGGGCAUUACCUGUUGGGGUCAAUGAUGCAGCUGUACCAUGAGGGAUUUGGAGGCUUCCUCCUUCUCUCCCACGUCUGAAAAGAGCAGUGAGAGUGAGUUCUGGUUCUGGAUGACACUGGGGAACCCCAGGGGAAAAAAUACAUGGGAUAAAUGCAGUAGCUGAGAAACAGUCUGGGAUAUGGUUAGUAUUGAAAGCAGCAGAUUUCACACGUGCAGCUUUCCCAGUCUUUAUGCCCUUGCCUACGCCAGCUUAACCUGCUGUGUCCUUAUGGCAGCCCAUCACUGCAUACACAGAGGUUUUCUCAGCAGCAGAGUGAAUGCAAGAAGCAAGAAGAAAGCCUGUCUCUCGUUACGUUGAGCAGCACCAGCAGCCGGGCUGCAGCUUCCUCCCCAGACUCACGCUGGUGACUUCAGCCCCUGCACUGCCGAGGUUCCCCCCGCCCUUCGGGAGCGCCCCGGGGUAGCGGCUCUGCCCCCUCGGGGCGGACCGGACAGGACCUCUCCCCGCGCCGAGCCCCCGCCGCCCUCAGGCUGAGGGCGGCACCGAUCGCAGGAAGAAAGGAAGGAAGCUGCUUCUUUUUUUCAGGUUCCCGUUUUCCCCCGUUACCGUUCUCAUUCACCAUGGGAAGCACCAUCUCAAGGUGAGAUUAAAUGAUCCGAAAGAGUGCAAGGAGCGUGCGGGAGUAGAAAACGAGAGGGGAGGCGGAGAGCGGAUGGAGAUCACCCAGCGGUGCCCGAGGAGCAGCGAAGCGUUACCCCGCCCGGUGCCGAAGCUGUGCAGUCCUUCGCCAGGAUCUGGGCGCUACCCGGGUACCUAUGCUGGGCUGCGCAGCGCCGUUCCUCUCCCCGCUGUCG